AACGAACGCUGGCGGCAGGCUUAACACAUGCAAGUCGAGCGCCCCGCAAGGGGAGCGGCAGACGGGUGAGUAACGCGUGGGAAUCUACCCUUCUCUACGGAACAACUCCGGGAAACUGGAGCUAAUACCGUAUACGCCCCUCGGGGGAAAGAUUUAUCGGAGAUGGAUGAGCCCGCGUUGGAUUAGCUAGUUGGUGGGGUAAUGGCCUACCAAGGCGACGAUCCAUAGCUGGUCUGAGAGGAUGAUCAGCCACAUUGGGACUGAGACACGGCCCAAACUCCUACGGGAGGCAGCAGUGGGGAAUAUUGGACAAUGGGCGAAAGCCUGAUCCAGCCAUGCCGCGUGAGUGAUGAAGGCCCUAGGGUUGUAAAGCUCUUUCACCGGUGAAGAUAAUGACGGUGACCGGAGAAGAAGCCCCGGCUAACUUCGUGCCAGCCGCCGCCGUAACAC
rnacentral:rRNA from 1 species